rnacentral:rRNA from 1 species
CUCGCGAGAGUAAGCUAAUCUCUUAAAGCCGUUCUCAGUUCGGACUGUAGGCUGCAACUCGCCUACACGAAGUCGGAAUCGCUAGUAAUCGCGGAUCAGCAUGCCGCGGUGAAUACGUCCCCGGGGCCUUGUACACACCGCCCGUCACACCAUGGGAGUUGGGGAUACCCGAAGCCUGUGAGCUAACUUUUAGAGGCAGCAGUCGAAGGUAGAAUCAAUGAUUGGGGUGAAGUCGUAACAAGGUACC